rnacentral:lncRNA from 1 species
AAAGAGCAAAAGUAACAGAUAAGUAUGUAAGACAUAUUGUAGAAAUGUAACAGAUAAUUAGGUAAAAAAAUAAGUAGGUAAUCAUUGCAGUGCAGCAAAGGUCUCAGAAAAAUUUAACAGAUAAGUCUCAUCAUAGCAGAAAAGUAACAGAUAAGUACGCAAGAUAUAUUGUAGAAAUGUGACAGAUAAUUAGGUAAAAAAUAAGUAGGUAAUCAUUGCAGUGCAGCAAAGGUCUCAGAAAAAGUUAACAGAUAAGUCUCAUCAUAGCAGUGCAACAAAGGUCUCAGAAUAAGUUAACUGCAUCAUUGCAGCAAUACAUAGUCUUAACAAAUGUUACAGCAACAACUGAUAACAACAGUAUAUUCUAGUUUCUAAGGUUGCCCCUGUUAUUCCACAUUUGCUCAGCACAGUUGUCUCUCAGGGAGGCCCAUGUGCUAUUAUCCACAAUGACAUCAUUGUGGACAGCCUCAUCAUUCACAUUCUCAUUCCAUGUGGACUCAUUAGGUACAUACUCAUCUACUCCAAACCUAAGGAUCCAAUUGUGCAAGAUGCAACAAGCUAGGACCAAUUUGACUUGUGUCUUAUAUGGGUGGAAAGGCUUAUUGUCCAAGAUCCUGAACCUAUUCUUGAGAGCACCGAAAGCCCUCUCCACUGUGGUCCUAAGGGAGGAAUGCCUGAGGUUGAAGAGCUCUUUAGGAGUCUGUGGCACCCUUGCACCAAACUCUCUCAAGUGAUAUCUUGUGGCUCUGUAUGGAGGCAGGAAGCCUGGCCUCACUGCAUAUCCAGCAUCUACCAAGUAAAAUUUACCUACCAUAUGACAAACAUAGCCAAUGAGGUGGUGUUUCUAAUUGUGUGUGGUAUAAAUAGGAGCAUCCUAUUGUUAGUUACCUGGUGGCACCCUUAAACCGUCUUCC